rnacentral:rRNA from 1 species
GUCGAACGGUAGAGGGGGCGACCCCUCGAGAGUGGCGAACGGGUGAGUAAUAUAUCGGAACGUGCCCAGUCGUGGGGGAUAACGUAGCGAAAGUUACGCUAAUACCGCAUACGAUCUAAGGAUGAAAGCGGGGGAUCGCAAGACCUCGCGCGAUUGGAGCGGCCGAUAUCAGAUUAGGUAGUUGGUGGGGUAAAGGCUCACCAAGCCAACGAUCUGUAGCUGGUCUGAGAGGACGACCAGCCACACUGGAACUGAGACACGGUCCAGACUCCUACGGGAGGCAGCAGUGGGGAAUUUUGGACAAUGGACGCAAGUCUGAUCCAGCCAUUCCGCGUGCAGGACGAAGGCCCUCGGGUUGUAAACUGCUUUUGUACGGAACGAAAAGGUUUCUAUUAAUACUAGGAGCUCAUGACGGUACCGUAAGAAUAAGCACCGGCUAACUACGUGCCAGCAGCCGCGGUAAUACGUAGGGUGCAAGCGUUAAUCGGAAUUACUGGGCGUAAAGCGUGCGCAGGCGGUUAUGUAAGACAGAGGUGAAAUCCCCGGGCUCAACCUGGGAACUGCCUUUGUGACUGCAUAGCUAGAGUACGGUAGAGGGGGAUGGAAUUCCGCGUGUAGCAGUGAAAUGCGUAGAUAUGCGGAGGAACACCGAUGGCGAAGGCAAUCCCCUGGACCUGUACUGACGCUCAUGCACGAAAGCGUGGGGAGCAAACAGGAUUAGAUACCCUGGUAGUCCACGCCCUAAACGAU